AGCAGCCGCGGUAAUUCCAGCUCCAAUAGCGUAUAUUAAAGUUGUUGCAGUUAAAAAGCUCGUAGUUGAAUUUCGGGGUCAGUAGUUUGGUCGUGCCAAUGGUAUGUACUGGGCUCACUGAUUCCUCCUUCCUGAUGAACUGUAAUGCCAUUAAUUUGGUGUUGCAGGGAAACUGGACUGUUACUUUGAAAAAAUUAGAGUGUUUAAAGCAAGCUAACGCUUGAAUACAUUAGCAUGGAAUAAUGAAAUAGGACGUUCGAUCCUAUUUUGUUGGUUUCUAGGAUUGACGUAAUGAUUAAUAGGGAUAGUUGGGGGCAUUAGUAUUCAAUUGUCAGAGGUGAAAUUCUUGGAUUUAUUGAAGACUAACUACCGCGAAAGCAUUUGCCAAGGAUGUUUUCAUUAAUCAAGAACGAAAGUUAGGGAAUCGAAGACGAUCAGAUACCGUCGUAGUCUUAACCAUAAACUAUAGACCGACUAGGGAUCGGAUGAUGUUAUUUUUAAUGUACUCAUUCGGCGUACC
rnacentral:rRNA from 1 species